rnacentral:rRNA from 1 species
AACGAACGCUGGCGGCAUGCCUAACACAUGCAAGUCGAACGAGACCUUCGGGUCUAGUGGCGCACGGGUGUGUAACGCGUGGGAACCUGCCUUUAGGUUCGGAAUAACUCAGAGAAAUUUGAGCUAAUACCGGAUAAUGUCUUCGGACCAAAGAUUUAUCGCCUUUAGAUGGGCCCGCGUAAGAUUAGCUAGUUGGUGGGUAAAGGCCUACCAAGGCGACGAUCUUUAGCUGGUCUGAGAGGAUGAUCAGCCACACUGGGACUGAGACACGGCCCAGACUCCUACGGGAGGCAGCAGUGGGGAAUAUUGGACAAUGGGCGAAAGCCUGAUCCAGCAAUGCCGCGUGAGUGAUGAAGGCCUUAGGGUUGUAAAGCUCUUUUACCCGAGAUGAUAAUGACAGUAUCGGGAGAAUAAGCUCCGGCUAACUCCGUGCCAGCAGCCGCGGUAAU